CAGCAGCCGCGGUAAUACGUAGGUGGCAAGCGUUGUCCGGAAUUAUUGGGCGUAAAGGACUCGCAGGCGGUUUCUUAAGUCUGAUGUGAAAGCCCCCGGCUCAACCGGGGAGGGUCAUUGGAAACUGGGAAACUUGAGUGCAGAAGAGGAGAGUGGAAUUCCACGUGUAGCGGUGAAAUGCGUAGAGAUGUGGAGGAACACCAGUGGCGAAGGCGACUCUCUGGUCUGUAACUGACGCUGAGGAGCGAAAGCGUGGGGAGCGAACAGGAUUAGAUACCCGUGUAGUCCCUGUCUCUUAUAU
rnacentral:rRNA from 1 species